CCAGACUCCUACGGGAGGCAGCAGUGGGGAAUAUUGCACAAUGGGGGAAACCCUGAUGCAGCAACGCCGCGUGGGUGAAGGAGCGUUUCGGCGCGUAAAGCCCUGUCAGCGGGGAAGAAGAAAGACGGUACCCGACCAAGAAGCCCCGGCUAACUACGUGCCAGCAGCCGCGGUAAUACGUAGGGAGCAAGCGUUGUCCGGAAUUACUGGGCGUAAAGGGCGCGUAGGUGGGCGCUUAAGUCAGGUGUGAAAACUCCGGGCUCAACCUGGAGACUGCACUUGAAACUGGGUGUCUUGAGGGCAGGAGAGGAAAGUGGAAUUCCUAGUGUAGCGGUGAAAUGCGUAGAUAUUAGGAGGAACACCAGUGGCGAAGGCGGCUUACUGGACUGUAACUGACGUUGAGGCUCGAAAGCGUGGGGAGCAAACAGGAUUAGAUACCCCCGUA
rnacentral:rRNA from 1 species